rnacentral:pre_miRNA from 1 species
AAAGAUCUUAUGAAUUCUAGGUCUUCUUUCAUCAGCCCAAUUUCUUCUUUUAUAAAAACAAUUGAAUAAGCUUGAAAUUUAACAAAUUAUUGUAGUUUUUGAUUAGAAGAUUUAUGAAUAGUAAGAAGUCCCGCUUCUCAAUGAGUGAUAGACCACUCUCUAUGAAUCUUCUACUCAAAAACUUUAAAAAAUUGCUUAAUUUCGAAGCUCAGUCAAUUGCUUCAAUAAAGGAAGAAAUUAGGCCGGUGAAAGACAACUUAGAGUUCAUAAGAUCUAUA